rnacentral:ncRNA from 1 species
ACGGUGUCCAGUAUGGACGUAAUAUGGGAACUCAGUGUAGAUGUGGUGCUUGUCAUCACACGAAUCUGGGGCUGUACCCGCAACUGUAAACGACGAGCUACUCGCAAAGGCCACUGAACGAAUUGCGUUCGGGAAGGCGCGAGCCAGUGAAGACUCGUGAGCCAGAAGACCUGCCGUCUC